rnacentral:rRNA from 1 species
GAUUGAACGCUGGCGGCAGGCCUACACAUGCAAGUCGAGCGGCAGCGGGAAAGUAGCUUGCUACUUUUGCCGGCGAGCGGCGGACGGGUGAGUAAUGCCUGGGGAUCUGCCCAGUCGAGGGGGAUAACUACUGGAAACGGUAGCUAAUACCGCAUACGCCCUACGGGGGAAAGCAGGGGACCUUCGGGCCUUGCGCGAUUGGAUGAACCCAGGUGGGAUUAGCUAGUUGGUGAGGUAAUGGCUCACCAAGGCGACGAUCCCUAGCUGGUCUGAGAGGAUGAUCAGCCACACUGGAACUGAGACACGGUCCAGACUCCUACGGGAGGCAGCAGUGGGGAAUAUUGCACAAUGGGGGAAACCCUGAUGCAGCCAUGCCGCGUGUGUGAAGAAGGCCUUCGGGUUGUAAAGCACUUUCAGCGAGGAGGAAAGGUUGGUAGCUAAUAACUGCCAGCUGUGACGUUACUCGCAGAAGAAGCACCGGCUAACUCCG